UACGUAGGGGGCAAGCGUUGUCCGGAUUUAUUGGGCGUAAAGAGCGUGUAGGCGGCUUGGUAGGUCCGCUGUGAAAACUCGAGGCUCAACCUCGAGAUGUCGGCGGAAACCACUUGGCUAGAGUCCGGAAGAGGAGAGUGGAGUUCCCGGUGUAGCGGUGAAAUGCGCAGAUAUCGGGAAGAACACCUAUGGCGAAGGCAGCUCUCUGGGACGGUACUGACGCUGAGACGCGAAAGCGUGGGGAGCGAACAGG
rnacentral:rRNA from 1 species